rnacentral:rRNA from 1 species
GUGGGGAAUCUUAGACAAUGGGCGCAAGCCUGAUCUAGCCAUGCCGCGUGAGCGAUGAAGGCCUUAGGGUUGUAAAGCUCUUUCGUGGGGGAAGAUAAUGACUGUACCCCAAGAAGAAGCCCCGGCUAACUCCGUGCCAGCAGCCGCGGUAAUACGGAGGGGGCUAGCGUUGUUCGGAAUUACUGGGCGUAAAGCGCACGUAGGCGGACUGGAAAGGCAGGGGUGAAAUCCCGGGGCUCAACCCCGGAACUGCCUUUGAAACUUCCAGUCUUGAGUUCGAGAGAGGUGAGUGGAAUUCCGAGUGUAGAGUUGAAAUUCGUAGAUAUUCGGAGGAACACCAGUGGCGAAGGCGGCUCACUGGCUCGAUACUGACGCUGAGGUGCGAAAGCGUGGGGAGCAAACAGGAUUAGAUACCCUAGUAGUCC